rnacentral:piRNA from 1 species
UACCGCCGGANUCAUAGCUUACUGAUCA